AAGUCGUAACAAGGUUUCCGUAGGUGAACCUGCGGAAGGAUCAUUAUCGUAGGGCUUCGGCCCUGUCGAGAUAGAACCCUUGCCUUUUUGAGUACCUUUCGUUUCCUCGGCAGGCUCGCCUGCCAAUGGGGACCCCCAAAACGCUUUGCAGUACCUGUAAUCGUCUGAACAACAAACAAAAAAUUAAAA
rnacentral:misc_RNA from 1 species